rnacentral:lncRNA from 1 species
GUGAGCAACACAGUCAUUGGGGAACACCAGAUGGCUACUGAGGUUUCUCCAGUGGUCCACAGGUGCCAGCUUCUUUCACUGUAAGGGGAAGAGAACUCUGUGUGAAAGAGACGCAGAGGGAGAAGGCGGCCCUGUGAAGAUGGAGGCACAGGUGUGAGAGAUGCUGCCACAAGCCCAGGAAUGCCCGGGGCUGCUGGAAGCUGAAAGAGGCAAGGAAGGAUCCUCCCCUUGAAGGUUCAGAAAGAGCGUGGCCCUGCCAGCACCUUGAUUUCAGACUGCUGGCCUCCAGAACUGUAAGAAAAUCUAUUUCUGUCAUCUGAAGCCACCCAGUUUAUGGUACUUUGUAACAGCAGCUCUGGGAAGCUGACACAGUGGCCCCACUACUAGUUAGAGUCCAUAGGACUGGAAGUUCUAUUAGUUUGUAAAAUAAACAUUCCUAAAGCCCACCUUUAACGUGGAAAACCUGGUGACUCAAAUUAGAGAUGUAUUACAUGAUUAUAUAGAAAUUGAAAUAGAUUGGAUGGAAUAGGGGCAGGUGAUUAAGAAGAAAAGAAAAUUGCCUAAAAAGGCCCAAGCCACCACCU